AUUGAACGCUGGCGGAAUGCUUUACACAUGCAAGUCGAACGGCAGCACGGACUUCGGUCUGGUGGCGAGUGGCGAACGGGUGAGUAAUGUAUCGGAACGUGCCCAGUCGUGGGGGAUAACGUAGUGAAAAUUACGCUAAUACCGCAUACGAUCUAUGGGUGAAAGCGGGGGAUCGCAAGACCUCGCGCGAUAGGAGCGGCCGAUAUCAGAUUAGGUAGUUGGUGGGGGAAAGGCCCACCAAGCCAACGACCUGUAGCCGGUCUGAGAGGACGACCAGCCACACUGGAACUGAGACACGGUCCAGACUCCUACGGGAGGCAGCAGUGGGGAAUUUUGGACAAUGGGCGAAAGCCUGAUCCAGCCAUUCCGCGUGCAGGAUGAAGGCCCUCGGGUUGUAAACUGCUUUUGUACAGAACGAAAAGGUUUCUACUAAUACUAGGAGCUCAUGACGGUACUGUAAGAAUAAGCACCGGCUAACUACGUGCCAGCCGCCGCCGUAA
rnacentral:rRNA from 1 species